CAGCAAUUAGUUUAAUAAAAAUUUAAGUUUUGGGAAUUUAAGAUGGAAAAUUGUUUUCUUUUGCUGA
rnacentral:tRNA from 1 species